ACUGCUGCUGUCUCGGAUAAUGGGAAACCUUGUAUAUCCUGAAAAUAUAUUUUUUCUUCAGAAACGAUGUAUAAUAGCCUUACUUUUAAACUGAUGACCAUGGAUUUUGAAGUGUAUGCUUUAGUUUGACUUAUGAAAAGGAAUUUGCAUGGGAUGCACACUUUCGACAAAAGUAUUCAACUCAAGUUAAAAUAGGGAAAAUACAACUAUUUUAUUUAUUCAAUCAGAGGUCUUCAAAUUUACAUAAUGAUCUGAGAGAGACAUAAGCACAUCACACUUUUUCUGUUCAGUGCUACAGUGCAAUAUUCAGAAGAAAAAAGCUACAAAUUAUGGAUGAAAUAUGUAGGAUAAUAAGUGACUUCAAUAAUUCAGAUCUUACUUAAAAUACUGGAAAAGCUCAAACUGACCAAAUAAGACCACACACAGACAGAUACCAUGCAUGUUGCACAGUUUAAAACUAACUAGCAACAAAGCUACCCAGCACAUAUUCCCAAUUUUGGCUUUCCAUAGUUUAAAGACAACCCUAUUGGAUGUCAUUGCAGUACAUAAAUAAAUUUCACUCAUUCACUUAAUCCACAGAGAUUUUUUUUUUUUUUAGCUUGUCAGGGGAUUUCAACCAGCAAACUUUCAAUCACAAGCCUUACAAAAACACAACACCCUGAAUCUAGAUGCCACAAUAUGUUAUACUUACCUUAACAUUAAUGUUAGAUAGAAAGGUAUCCAACCUCAGCCAUUACUAAUUGGUGUUUUGUUGUAUGAUAAGGUAAAAACAUCUUUCAAAUACAUUAACACACGAUAAGUUUGCUUUAUUCUUUAUAAACAGCUCACACUCAGUUAGAAUGGAACCACUGAACAUUCGUUCACAUAAACUUGUCCUCAGGUUUGCCCUUUAUGCUUAAAAAUUAAAUGGGUCACAGGGAUUUUAUUCUAACCUCCACAUGAGCAGAGUAUUAACAUUGUUUUAAUGAGCAUCGGUCCCAGAGCAAAAUGCUAAAUUUAUUCAUUUUGGAUUCCAGGCUGAAAAAAAAAGCUGUGGCCUUAACAUAAGAGUACUAUGCUUACCAAUGGUCAGUUAGUUAUGCAAGCCAAGCUGGUGUUAUAUAAACCCAUUCAGUCCCAGUUAUACCACAGGCUCAGCAGAGGUCAGUGUCAGAGCAACAAAGAUUAGAAAAGAUCAGUUUGAUCUCUUAGUGGGAUCAGAAGCCAGAGAGAGAUUCACAGUUGACGCUGCACAUGAUUUUGUAGUUAGAGAGGUCAGAGGUUUGAGCCCUGUGGCAGCCGGGGUCCUGAGGAUGCUCGAUCAAAGCACUGAACUCCAACCUGUAUUGUCUAUACUAUUCCUUUCUAUUCUAUUGUUUUUAUUCUUACAUCUUCACCACCCAGUGUAUUUACUUGACUAAAUCAGAACGCUCUGGCCAAUAAGAGGAAGUGAGCCUCGCAAAAGCCUUGCUCCCUUAAGUUACCGUUUCUACGCCCACCUAGCUUUCCAUUUUUGCAAGGCACAUACUGUAUGCAGUUUACAGUGUUAACAGAGGUACAUUUACCAUCAGUAGUGAUUUUUGAGAAAAAAGAAAAAGUGCCCAUGAUUUCAGACAGAGGUGGCCAAAUUUUGGGAAAAUUUGGUGGGCAAAUUUUAUCAGUAAUUCCUAGCUAGCUAAUCAAGCUAAUAUUAGCUCCAAAGAAUAAUAAAAAAAAUAAAACGAAAACAUUGCAAAGGGUCUUAAAUAUGCACUUCAUAGCUAAAUAAUACUGUGCUAAAAGGCUGUGGUAAAAGAAAAAAAGUCUGCAUUCAACCAGUUUUACCAAAGCCAGUUCGUCCUAGCAUAACCCUGUUGAGUUGCUUAGGCUAGCUGAGACAGAGGUUAAAUUUAUGUAUAAUUGUUUGUAUUUUCAAACAGUAUGUCUAGCUUUUAACAAUAUGAGACAAAAUUUUUAAGCAUGAGCACAAACAAGGGUUGUGACGGACAGAAGACUGCAUGUUAUCCCACAAAAUAAUGCAGUAUAAUAUUCUCCUUGGCCUUGGAAGCAAUGCUAGUUCGACGGACAUGUAAAUAGUUGAUAAAUUUAGAGCAGAUAAACACACAGUUUAAUACAUUCCUUACUCUUUUGCUCUUGUAUUUCUAGCAGAAAAAGACCCCACGCUCCAAACUCUCUAGCAUCUCUCUUACUACAUCCCCAUGCAUGCUGCUUCAGCAUUUGGAGAAAUCUAAAGCCUGACAGGCCUGCUGUGCCUAGUUACAGUUGCUAAGCUAUGAUUGGACAAUUGCUGUUUUUAUGGAUGGAUUUUAGCAAACACUCAGUGAUGAUGCCCCCAUGCUGUGACCACAGCUUCCUUUUUCAUUUUCACCACUUGAUGCUUCAGCAAAUUCUAGUCUUCCUAGGGUCCACAAACAUCCACACUAAUAGUUCAUCAAAAGACUCCAGUUCAUCUGACACGCAUUUGAAUAAACUGUGGCACCCUUGAAAAGCCCAGAGGAGACAAACUCCUUUUAGAAAGGAGCAAGGCGCAGCAGAGAUUGAGCAGUGACUUGUUGAAAUUUAAUAAGCAAAGAAGGUCACACAGAAGCAUUUCUGUCUGUCAGGGUUAGGCUACUUAUUUCUCCAUUAUAAGGAUAAAUACAUCAUUAAAAAGGGUAGUGCCAUUCGCUUUCAGCUCGCUUCAAAUCACUCUGAGAUCGUUAGUGAGAAGAUAAAAUUUCAUAAAGCUCAUAGGGAAGAGGCAAAUGAGGUAGACAGUUAGGAUGGGAGAAGAGAAAGAAGAGGGAGGGCAUGAAGAUGAGAUGAAUGAGAUGAAUGAGAUGAGGAUAGAUCAGGUCAGAGGAGGUCAAAAAGUAUAAUGAAACUUCAUGAAACUGGAAUGUAUGAUAUAGCUGACGAAUCAAACCAUACUCUUGUUAAUCACGCAGUGAACUUUGUCCGGAGCUUGGUGCCAGGCAAGUAAAUGGACAGUAGGUUUUUAAGCUGGAGGCAGUUUUUGGCAGACAGACAAAUGAUAUUGUCCUUCUGAUAGAGGUAUCCGAUUAAAAAUGUGUUGUUCACAAGGGCACGGGCAAACAGUACAUUAUGCUGGUUAAUUUGGAUGACUUGUUGGAAAUAUGGUACAUCAUCAGGCCAUCCAGUAUUGUGUGUAAAAAUGGAGACUCUUCUGUUGCCUAUAUUUAGUCCAUAUAAUCAAACUAGUCAACCAGUGGUGGAAGCUUUCAGCAUACUAAUGCUUUAUUCUUAAUGCUACUACCUUUUCUUAGAUGACUUAUCAACAUACUGCAUUAAGUUGUUUUAACCCAGUCUAGUCAGAAUGGAUCACAGAGCCAGUGUAUUCCACUGCACAUAUAUGUGUUUAUACAUAUGCCUGUGUUUGUGUUUAUCUCACCAUCUCUCUGAGAUCCAGGCUGUGUGAACUGCGUCAUCGUCCUGUCAGUCCUCUGCAGAGUAAUGAGCUGUAAUGUGCCUCUCUCGUUCUCCCAGCCCGAGCUUCCUAUCCAGUUUUCCCUUUUCUCCCCCUCCCUCACUCGGUGUCCCAGAGGGGAGUGGGUCCCUGGAGGCUAUUAGGGUGGUCAGAGCGGAUCGUAUCACUGUGGUUGACUUUACUAGAAGAUGAUUCUGCAGACUGAAUAGAAGUAACAUCAGCCGUCAGAGAAAGAGAUGAGCAGAGAUGAAGAAAAAUUGGUCACCGGAGAUAAAGAGUGGCAAUGAGUGACGCAUGAAGUGAAAAAGGAAGAUGUGGAAGAGAAGGGAGAGGGAAGAUAAUGAGGCAGGAAACGCUCAUUUUCAUUUCUGCCAUUAGGAAAGUGAUGUUGUGUAAGAGUGGCAGUGAGGAAAUGAGUGGGAAAGAGAGAGAGAGAGGAGAGGAAGGAGGUGGUGUGAGUUGGAAAUAAUAGCAUUUAUAGUAGUCAAAAUCAGAGAGAGAGAAUGACAGUGAGUUAGUCAAGUAGAAAAGUCAGGAUGAACUGCAAACAGAGGAAUCAAGAAGAAAGGACACAUCAUUAUAUGGUUAAUAUUUUAUAUUCACCUAUAUUUUUUAACAUAAACAACUGAGAACACUGUGUUUUUCAUUUGUUGCACUGACAGUGCUUUCUUAUAUUUUAGGAUUAAAAACAAAAAACAAAUACUUUUUAGAAAAUCUGCAGUGUCUUUACAUUAAUAAUAUUUAAGAUAUUGCUGAUUUAUUGUAUGUAUGCAGUUAUUGAUCUAGCAUGUAUGAUUUACACAAAGUGAGUUCAUCCCACCCCCAUAAUCAUGAUGACUGAACAUCAUGAUCACAAAAGCCACUCAGGGAGGCGCAAGUCAGAGUGUAUUAUUACAGUCCUCACCACUUUAUAACCACUGUCAGCAACCAUACAGCACAUAUUCACAACAACUUCACUCCAGACCAGACAGAGUGUGUGUGGUCUUUUGUUUGGUCAGUCGAGGCUCAGGUGUCCACUGUUCACCACCGCCUGCAGUUUGCACCUCUACCAACUCCCCCACUGUCCAAUCAGCAGCCAGUUUCUGUGGAAGCGUGGACCUACAGUAUCAACCCAUAAGAUGCCAUCAGUGUGUUUGAUCCCAAGCUUUUGGAACUGACUCAAAGGACAGCGCAAAAACAAAAACAUGAACACUGUAGAAGCUGUUAUUGUGGACUAGAUCAUUUAUGCCACCGACGAACCAGGCAGCUACCUUCCUGUUAAAUCACAUGAAACUGAAGGAUCACAUCUCUGCCCAGCUCUUCAACUGCAGACACCUAUUACCAAAACAGUGACCCCAGCUACUCAACCACUCAGAUCCUCAUCGAUGACCUUCCUACAGGAGGAGCACUGAAUGCAGAGAGAUGACAAUAAAACCGAUCCGUCUUUCACAAAAUAUGACGAGAAACUACUUUGUAGCUCUGACUUUGUUAUGAUCCACUUUUCCUGGGGAAAAAAGUGGGGAUGCAGGUAUAUCUGGACGACCAUGUUCUAAAUCAUUAUGCAGAAUGGAUUUACACGACGAGGGACUCCAGCCUGUGUAAACACUGCAGUGUGGUGACAUGAAGAUCAUUGCUGGGCGAGGUUCAAAUUCAAAUGACAUUAAUCUGCAUAAACAUUUCACUGCCUCUGUCUGGAGAACAAAAGUCCACUUGAAUGGCUGUAUUGGUGACUAAAGAUUUGUUGUGAGGACAAUAUGGGACUAGUAGGAACAUACAGAUGUUCAGAUACUGUGAUGCAACCUUUAAUGCAAAGCUUAUCGCUUAUUUUUGAGAAAACAAAAUAGUACAAGCAUGAAAUUAAUGGUUUGUAUAUUUCAAAUGUCAAGACUUGUUGAGGACAGGAUGACGUAUUUGUACAUAUGAUAAGCUAAGCUGUUGUUACUCACUUCACUGUGAAAGCUAAAGCCAAUAUAUUUAAAGGGAAAUAAAAGGCAAAUUCUGCUGGUGUUAUGUCUUACAGAUGGUUCAACCAAACAUAUGCAUAAACUCACACAUUCAAAUGAUAUAAGAGAUACAGGCAUGAUGAGAAAUGGAUUUCAAUGCAAACAAAACACAGCAGUGUAUAAUGGGCAGGAGAGGAACAACGGUAAUACAGUGCAAUGUUAAAUGUUAACAUGCUACCAUUGCAGCAUUGUAGUUUCUCAGCAUUACAGCUUUGUGUGUACCUCACUUGACAUGCAUGGCCACUUUCUCUUAACUGUCCUCCUUGAUGGAGUAAACUGUCUGCCUCCUCACAGAUACAUUUCAGUCAUUUGCACUUUAGUAACACAAACUACAGGCUUAGAUUUGUUAGUUAAUAUAUAAUUAUGUGUAAGGAUUUGGCUUUAGAUUUGAUUCUAUGUUUUUUUUCUAUAUCUUAGAUUUAAGUUUCAUUUGAGAAUACAUUUCUUUGUAUAUCGUCAAUAAUGUCAUUCGUCAUAUUUAUUUACCUUUAAAGGGAGUUGUGUUAAAGUUAGACCUUUCUACUGUAUGACUCUUACAGUACAUUGAAUCUUCUGUGAUACAACUUCAUUAAAUUCAUAAGAAUGUGA